GAAGGGCCCUGCGUAUGUUAAAUGCAGAGGUGGCAAAAAUAUCGCUUUGUAGAUAUAUUUUUGCUCAACUUCAUAUCAAAUACUGUCUUUGGGGAGUGGAACUGUUAACCCACUGCUCUGAGUAGGGCUGUGGAGGUGGUUAUACGUUUAUUGUUUAUUUAGUUACUUUAACUAGGUGCUGAGGAUCACACCCAAGGCCUCACGCGUGCUAGGAGAGUGCCGUACCGCUGAGCCCCACCCUUGCAGUGUGCAUAUCAUGGACAAAACGAGACCCAGUUUUGCAACUUGGCGUCUCUAGAUGAUAAAGAGAUUGCCAGUGUAUGACAAAGUAAAAUUAGCACAUUUUCUGCAUUGUGUUAAAUCCAUGGGAAAGCUUGUCCUCUGUAAAUAAUUUCUGGCUGUGAAUUUGUUUAACCAUCUGUAAGCAUCACAUACGGCUGCACUUGUCCACUGGACUGAAUUUAGAGAGAAGGAAGUGGGGAGGGAGAGAUUUAAGGCCAAAACGGUCAUGUUAGAAGAUCCCUCGGAUUAUAACCACCGGGACGUGCACGGUUGUAUUUAUCAGUGCCGAGCUCGAGGAGGACAGGUUCUCUUGUGGGAGAGCUUCUGUAUAUUUAGAAGGGCUUGCCAUGUUUGAAAGUAGACAUCGUAGAAUAAAACUUUUUGUAAAUAGCUUUAAAAAAUGCAUGGGAAAUACUGUGUUUGGAAUCGUACCUGUUCACCAGGCUCACGGAGGUGGGAGGAAGAAGUGGCAAAAGGUGUCUUGUAGAAUGUGCUGGAAACCGUAGCUUGCCCACGGCCGUUUGUUCCCUGUGUUUCACUGAACGUUGUCCUGCUGUAUAUAUUGUGUACUUACUGGACAAAGGAGUCUUAAUUUCACAUCCAGUCUCCAGAUAUUAAAGAGUGUGCUGGUGUAUCGAUGAAAAAAAAUUCAUGUCCUUUAGUUUUAUGGCUCUAAUAUCUUUCUUUCCCCAGGAAGGUCCUGAGCACCGUGACCCAAGAUGCCAGGAGCCAAGGGGUCUGCCUCCCCCACAGGCUCCCCCAGGUCCCCAGGCAGCUGGGGCUUUAGACACGAGGAAAAUGGAUGCUACAAUUUUAUCCACUGACAUUUUGCAAAUUUGAAACGGGAUGAGCUGUGAGCUUGGCUCAGCCCCUAAAGGGCUCCUGUCCAAAAGAGGCCCCAGGGCCUGGGCUUCCCUGGCCAGGGACACUGGGCCUGGCUGGCCCCUCUCACUGCACCUCCCUCCCCUCCUUCCCCGGGGCGUCAGAACCCACGGCCCCUCCCCUGCUCGGCCCCAGGACGUGUGCCUGCGGCCAGGCCUCUCUGAUGAACGCAGCCUGCUCACCUCUGAUUGGUGACGUUGCUCGUGGUGAAAAGGGUCAUUCUCUUUGGCUCCCCUUGUUGAAUUCCAGGAGUUCUGGGAGGCUCAGCUGGGGAGUUCUCCUGGUGGCAGCUGGUGUCUCCUGGGGCUGCCACCACCUGACGGCUCCGCUGGGCCCGGCGGGACGUCCAAGAUGGCUCUUGGAGCAGAGAUUUGGACCCAGGCCACCCAGUGCCCGUUCCAGGUACCAGCCCCUGGGUGGUCCUGGUGUGGGCUUCUCAGCUGUCCUCCUGAGCCUCGCGGGGCGGCUCCUGGACAGCUGCUCCAUUUCAACGGCAAGACUGAGGGGGACACGUUUCCCUCCCAGCCAGGGCUUAUUUUAGCUGCUUAUUCUUUACGGUUUGUCAGCGUUCUCUGGCUUCUCCUUUAUCUCCGUGGCAGGGCCUGCUGUCCAGGUGGGCAGUGGCCAUCUCCCUGGUGCUUAUGUCAAGGUCCCCAGCAGCAGUGACCUGCAUGGAGCACCAUUGGCACCUGGUCCCAGGACUGGUCCAGGUCAGUUGGAGGCUGGCUCAGCAUCUGGGACCUGAGCCUUGAAUGCUGGUCUCCUGGGCACCAUGGGCAUCUCCACAGGGGGCAGGUGGGUGCCCAUCUGUGAAACGGGUGUGAAGGGCAGGG
rnacentral:lncRNA from 1 species